UACCAGCACCCCGAGUGGUCGGGGCGAUUAUUGGGCCUAAAGCGUCCGUAGGCGGUCCUACAAGUCUUCCGUUAAAUCCACCUGCUCAACAGAUGGGCUGCGGAAGAUACUAUAGGGCUAGGAGGCGGGAGAGGCAAGCGGUACUCAGUGGGUAGGGGUAAAAUCCUCUGAUCCAUUGAAGACCACCAGUGGCGAAGGCGGCUUGCCAGAACGCGCUCGACGGUGAGGGAUGAAAGCUGGGGGAGCAAACCGG
rnacentral:rRNA from 1 species